GGUGGGGUGGCAGAGCGGCCCAUUGCGCCUGCCUUGAAAGCAGGUGGCGUUAAGCCUCCUGGGUUCAAAUCCCAGCCCCACCG
rnacentral:tRNA from 2 species